GAUGAACGCUGGCGGCGUGCCUAACACAUGCAAGUCGAACGGAGUUAUGCAGAGGAAGUUUUCGGAUGGAAUCGGCGUAACUUAGUGGCGGACGGGUGAGUAACGCGUGGGAAACCUGCCCUGUACCGGGGGAUAACACUUAGAAAUAGGUGCUAAUACCGCAUAAGCGCACAGCUUCACAUGAAGCAGUGUGAAAAACUCCGGUGGUACAGGAUGGUCCCGCGUCUGAUUAGCCAGUUGGCAGGGUAACGGCCUACCAAAGCGACGAUCGGUAGCCGGACUGAGAGGUUGAACGGGCCACAUUGGGACUGAGACACGGGCCCAGACUCCUACGGGAGGCAGCAGUGGGGGAUAUUGCACAAUGGGCGAAAGCCUGAUGCAGCAACGCCGCGUGAGGGAAGACGGUUUUCGGAUUGGUAAACCUCU
rnacentral:rRNA from 1 species